ACUGAGUAUAUUUUCAAUAUGCUCAUCCCUUAUCUUUUCAGUUUUGCAGUUCUGGAGUCGAGGUGGCCAUGGAAGUCGAGAAUGACUAGAGAUAAAGAUUUUGCAUAGAAAAUUUAAGUUGAACUUGUUAAGUUUUAGUUUAUUGUUUUAUUUUUUUUAUUUUUAUGUUACUACUUUAGUUUUAGCAAGUUGAUUUUAAAUUAGUUUAAAUUUUGAUAGUCAAGAAAUUUUAUUUUUAACUAUUAGUUCUUCAAGUUUUAGAUUGCAAAGUUUAUGAAAAUUGGAGCGUUACAUACCUUCGGAACUGUGCAUUCAACUUGCAGAAAAUAUCUCAUAAUAAUAAGGGAGUGUUUACUUCGAUUCAUGGGAUAAAUUUAGGGCAGUAA
rnacentral:lncRNA from 1 species